AAUGCAGUCGAGCGAACUGAUUAGAAGCUUGCUUCUAUGACGUUAGCGGCGGACGGGUGAGUAACACGUGGGCAACCUGCCUGUAAGACUGGGAUAACUUCGGGAAACCGAAGCUAAUACCGGAUAGGAUCUUCUCCUUCAUGGGAGAUGAUUGAAAGAUGGUUUCGGCUAUCACUUACAGAUGGGCCCGCGGUGCAUUAGCUAGUUGGUGAGGUAACGGCUCACCAAGGCAACGAUGCAUAGCCGACCUGAGAGGGUGAUCGGCCACACUGGGACUGAGACACGGCCCAGACUCCUACGGGAGGCAGCAGUAGGGAAUCUUCCGCAAUGGACGAAAGUCUGACGGAGCAACGCCGCGUGAGUGAUGAAGGCUUUCGGGUCGUAAAACUCUGUUGUUAGGGAAGAACAAGUACGAGAGUAACUGCUCGUACCUUGACGGUACCUAACCAGAAAGCCACGGCUAACUACGUGCCAGCAGCCGCGGUAAUACGUAGGUGGCAAGCGUUAUCCGGAAUUAUUGGGCGUAAAGCGCGCGCAGGCGGUUUCUUAAGUCUGAUGUGAAAGCCCACGGCUCAACCGUGGAGGGUCAUUGGAAACUGGGGGAACUUGAGUGCAGAAGAGAAAAGCGGAAUUCCACGUGUAGCGGUGAAAUGCGUAGAGAUGUGG
rnacentral:rRNA from 1 species